rnacentral:rRNA from 1 species
ACGGGAGGCAGCAGUGAGGAAUAUUGGUCAAUGGGCGGAAGCCUGAACCAGCCAAGUAGCGUGCAGGAUGACGGCCCUACGGGUUGUAAACUGCUUUUGCGCAGGGAUAAAGAUUGCCUCGGGAGGCAAGUUGCAGGUACUGCGUGAAUAAGGACCGGCUAAUUCCGUGCCAGCAGCCGCGGUAAUACGGAAGGUCCGAGCGUUAUCCGGAUUUAUUGGGUUUAAAGGGUGCGCAGGCGGGCUGCUAAGUCUCCGGUGAAAUGUCAGGGCUCAACCUUGGCACUGCCGGAGAUACUGGCGGCCUUGAGAGUGGCGGAGGUAUCCGGAAUGUGUGGUGUAGCGGUGAAAUGCAUAGAUAUCACACAGAACACCGAUUGCGAAGGCAGGAUACCAUACCAUAUCUGACGCUCAGGCACGAAAGCGUGGGGAUCGAACAGGAUUAGAUACCCUGGUA